GGAGUCUGGGUAGCUACCAAAUCACGAAUAUCACCAAAACCACAAUCUCCAUCAUCACUCAACCAACAGGAAUCUCCUGAGAGCCUGCUUCAUGCUCAGCACUGUGAAACUUGCAUUGAAAAACGAAGGCACAAAAGAGAAUACAAAAUGGUUUUAUAUUAUUGGACAUGUACUAUUAUUGUCUCACUUUGGAUUGCUGGUAAAUGAGACAGAGAAAGAUGAGUCAACCUGAAAAGAUCACGAAGUAGUAAAAGAUGGAACUGAUGUUGAGCCCACCCCAUCUCUCCACAUGAUCAUCACAAACACAAUAACCCGUAACCAAAAGAUUGAGACAGAGGACUGCAAGGUGAUGGUUUGCAAAAACUUGAAUUCCAGAUGUCUCUUUCCUUCCUUUUCUCCCUCCUUCCUUCUUUAACUGUAAACUAACUGCAUUCAGAAUAUACAACUGACAUUUUA
rnacentral:lncRNA from 10 species